rnacentral:rRNA from 1 species
UACGUAGGGUGGCGAGCGUUGUCCGGAAUUACUGGGCGUAAAGAGCUCGUAGGCGGUUUGUCGCGUCGUCCGUGAAAACUUGGGGCUCAACCCCAAGCUUGCGGGCGAUACGGGCAGACUUGAGUACUUGCAGGGGAGACUGGAAUUCCUGGUGUAGCGGUGAAAUGCGCAGAUAUCAGGAGGAACACCGGUGGCGAAGGCGGGUCUCUGGGCAGUAACUGACGCUGAGGAGCGAAAGCGUGGGUAGCAAACAGG